UACAGAGGGAGCAAGCGUUGUUCGGAAUUACUGGGCGUAAAGGGCGCGUAGGCGGUUCGAUAAGUCCCGUGUGAAAUCCCUCGGCUCAACUGAGGAAUUGCACGGGAAACUGACGGGCUUGAGUUCGGGAGAGGGAAGCGGAAUUCCGGGUGUAGCGGUGAAAUGCGUAGAUAUCCGGAGGAAUACCGGUGGCGAAGGCGGCUCUCUGGACCGGUACUGACGCUAAAGCGCGAAAGCGUGGGUAGCAAACAGG
rnacentral:rRNA from 1 species